UACGGGGGGGGCAAGCGUUGUUCGGAAUUACUGGGCGUAAAGCGCGCGUAGGCGGCUUUGUAAGUUAGAGGUGAAAUCCCGGGGCUCAACCCCGGAACUGCAUUGGAUACUGCCUUGCUAGAGUACUGGAGAGGAGACUGGAAUUUACGGUGUAGCAGUGAAAUGCGUAGAGAUCGUAAGGAAGGCCAGUGGCGAAGGCGAGUCUCUGGACAGUAACUGACGCUGAGGCACGAAGGCCAGGGGAGCAAACGGG
rnacentral:rRNA from 1 species